AACGAACGCUGGCGGCAUGCCUAACACAUGCAAGUCGAACGAGACCUUCGGGUCUAGUGGCGCACGGGUGCGUAACGCGUGGUAACCCGCCCUUAGUUUCGGAAUAACUCCCCGAAAGGGGUGCUAAUACCGGAUAAUGUCUUCGGACCAAAGCUUUAUCGCCUUUGGGUGGGCCCGCGUUUGCUUUGGUAGUUGGUAGGGUAAAAGCCUACCAAGGCGACGAUCCAUAGCUGUUCUGAGAGGAUGAUCAGCCACACUGGGACUGGGACAAGGCCCAGACUGCAGGGGGAGGCAGCGAGUGGGGAACAAGGGCAAUGGGCGAGAGGCAGAUCCAGCGAGGCCGCGUUGAUGAUCAAGGGCUUGGGGUUGUAAGGCUCUUUUGACCGGGAGGAUAAUGACAGUACCGGGAGAAUAAGCUCCGGCUAACUCCGUG
rnacentral:rRNA from 1 species